rnacentral:rRNA from 1 species
GGGCCCGCACAAGCGGUGGAGUAUGUGGUUUAAUUCGAUGCAACGCGAAGAACCUUACCAGGGCUUGACAUCCUGCGAAUCUCUGGGAAACCGGAGAGUGCCUUCGGGAACGCAGUGACAGGUGGUGCAUGGCUGUCGUCAGCUCGUGUCGUGAGAUGUUGGGUUAAGUCCCGCAACGAGCGCAACCCACGUCUUUAGUUGCCAGCAUUUAGUUGGGCACUCUAGAGAGACCGCCGGUGACAAACCGGAGGAAGGUGUGGAUGACGUCAAGUCAUCAUGCCCCUUACGUCCUGGGCUACACACGUACUACAAUGCUACGGACAAAGGGCAGCAAACUCGCGAGAGCUAGCAAAUCCCAUAAACCGUGGCUCAGUUCAGAUCGUAGGCUGCAACUCGCCUACGUGAAGGAGGAAUCGCUAGUAAUCGCAGGU